AGCGGAAAGCUUAAAAAAUUUAGACCACAAAUCCUCUUAUCCCAUCCCCUUCUCCUGGCGAUGGGCGGCAGUGCGGCUAACGCCAGAGGCCGGACGGAGAGGCAAAUCAAGGCACACCAUCACUAGAUGCCGCCAUUCCCCUAGGCCCAUCUUCCCCUGCCGGACUUUGAGCGAGCAGCCAGCACAACGGCCACCUCCUCGCUCCUGCUCGACGCCCUUCCAUGGUUGACGAUGAGCUAGUGCGGGAUGACACGGUGAGCCGGCAGGUAGUACAUCACUGGGACAGCGGUACUCAAGCUCAAUGCCCAUGUCCCCUCGAUGGUCCCUGCUCGACGUCGUACUGGUAGACGUCCCUAUCCAUAAGUGGUAAUUCAGUCAACUAUCUCCACUUGUAAUUAAGAAGACCAAGAAGUGGACAUGGAUCUGAAUGGAGAAGAGGAUGAGGAUGGCGAAUGACUUGUGCUUCUUCCAUGAUCAGAACUAGAUCCGUUUAUUAUUGUGUGAUGGUCAUGGUCUGACUUGUAUGAUUGGUUGGUAGUUUUUGUUUGCAUGGUUACAUGGUUGAAUAUUGUACAGAUGGACCAGUUGUAGUCUAUAUAUGUUGUGUCAUCCUAAUAGUUUUUGUUUGCAUGGUUGAAUAUUGUCUGGAUGGACUAGUUACAGUCUAUAUGAUUAUGCUUAUAUAAGUGAUGAUUGUUCAAUUAAA